UUGACCCUAAUGACUCUGCUUGUUACGUCCUGCUUGCAAAUGUUCACGCCUCAGCUAAGAGAUGGCGCGAUGUAUCAGAGGUGAGAAAAUCGAUGAGAGAUAAGAAUGUGAAGAAAGAAGCGGGAAUCAGCUGGUUUGAACACAAAGGUGAAGUUCAUCAGUUUAAGAUGGGAGAUCGCUCUCAGUCUAAAUCUAAAGAGAUCUAUUCAUACCUGAAAGAACUGACUCUGGAGAUGAAGCUGAAGGGAUACAAGCCUGAUACAGCGUCAGUAUUGCAUGAUAUGGAUGAGGAGGAGAAAGAAUCAGACUUGGUGCAGCACAGCGAGAAACUAGCGGUUGCAUUUGCGCUCAUGAUAUUACCUGAAGGUGCACCGAUUAGAAUAAUCAAGAACUUGCGGGUUUGCAGUGAUUGCCAUGUUGCUUUCAAAUAUAUAUCGGUGAUCAAGAACCGAGAGAUCACGUUAAGAGAUGGUAGUAGAUUCCAUCAUUUCAUUAACGGAAAGUGUUCUUGCGGCGAUUAUUGGUAGCUGGGCAGUUAAAGUAUGCUAUGACUCUCUGCUUCAGAGUCUUUCUGGAGUCUUAAGCACUCAGAUUGGAUCGGGAAGCCAUCUGGGACGAAAGCAUUCAGCAGCAAGGGUAAAAUUACACUGCGGGUAGUAGCUUUGUAGUCUACCUUGAGAUUGCUCCUGCCUGUGUUAUUCUUGAGUCAGGAACAUGAAGUGGUUUGCUGUCAACUUUACUUACUCAAGCCAUCUCCGCAAGGUAGAAACUAUGGUUCGCGUUAUUU
rnacentral:lncRNA from 1 species